rnacentral:rRNA from 1 species
UACAGAGGCAGCGAGCGUUGUUCGGAGUUACUGGGCGUAAAGCGUGCGUAGGCGGUGUCUUAAGUUUGUUGUGAAAUCUCCCGGCUUAACCGGGAGGGUGCGGCGAAUACUGAGAUGCUGGAGUGCCGGAGAGGUAAGCGGAAUUCCUGGUGUAGCGGUGAAAUGCGUAGAUAUCAGGAGGAACACCUGCGGUGUAGACGGCUUACUGGACGGUAACUGACGCUGAGGCACGAAAGCGUGGGUAGCAAACAGG